GGGCAGUGCAAGAGCGCCGGAUCUGUUCGUCUCCUCCUCCCCCAGCAGGCAGGGCUCAAGAGGAGCGCAUGGGAGCUCACUCUCUCUCCUCUCUCUCUCCCACUCGCUCUUUCUCUCUCACCCUCGCCUGUCUCUUCACAGGGUGAUGGGGGAGCAGCGCUGUUGGCGGUAGAGGAGGUGCGUGGCAGUCCAGGAAGCUCUCAUUCUGCUGCUGUGUGCUGCUUUACUGUCGUCCGGCUUCACCCAAGUCUCCCUCACUCACUCUCUCUCUGUGCGUGUGUCAGAGUUGCCUUCCUCUCUCCUCCCCUCUCAUUGAUUCCUCUUUUUGCCUGCCUUUCGUGAGUGCUCUCAGUGCCUCUCUGAGCCUUCACCCUCUUGUUUCUUGUUCUUUCUUGCUCUUCCCGCUUAGCCGUUUCUCUUUUUGUGCCUCUCCUCGUCUUCUUCACCAGCUGGGAUAAGCGUGUCUUCGUCUUGUCUUCCUCCCCUCAUCCCAACCAGCCGCAGCAUAUGGUCGCCCCUGCCUAAGUUCUGCCGGAGGUUUCUUGCUGUUAAAAGGGAGUUUUUCCCUUCCCAUUCUCUCCAAAGUGAUUGCUUUAAGGGGGUCAAACAAUUGUUGGGGUUUUCUGUUUUCUUUGUCUCUAAGGGAAUGGGGUUUUGGGGGGCUAACAGGAAGAGAGAAACUGCAUAGAGCAUGCAAGACUACAGCUCUGCUUGGUCCCAACUCUACAUAGUUAUGCAUCACACAAACAGCAGGUGCUGCUCUCUCAAACCGAUUAUUUUCAGUGGUUUUCACAGUACAACAAAGAAUGACUGGACCUUGUGGUAACUUAAAAUGGGCCUUGGGGUGUUGAUGAAGCAGCUAGGUAUGAUUAACUCAAUUGCAUCCGCACUUUAUAUAGCGAUAUAGCAUUGUCCACAUAACUGUUUGCAUUUGUUAAAACAGGCCCAAGAAAAAUCCUGGUGCCAAAAAAGUCCACCAGAGGAUUAAAUGACUACAGGCCUGUCGUGCUAACAUCUGUGGCUGUGAAGUCCUUUGAAAGACUUGUGUUAAGCCACCAGAAGGACAUUGCACUGGAAGUUCACCUAGCUUCCACCUGUCAGUGGAUCACCAGACCAUUAGCACCAGCCUCAUCCAGGGAUGUGUUCUCUCCGCUGCUCUUCUCUCUCUAGACAAAUGAGUGCACCUCAGGAGAACCAUAUGUGAAACUCCUAUAGUUCAUCAAGGACACCACUGUCAUUGGUCUGAUCCAGAAAUAUGACGUGUCCGCAUACAGACAGGAAGUGGAUCCCCGCAAUCUGAAGUGGUCCUCACAUAUAGACUCUGUCUGAAAGAAGGCCCAGCAGAAGUUGUACUUCCUGCAGCUACUCAGGAAGUUCAACUUGCCACUGAAGCUGCUGGUCAUGUUCUACACUAUCAUCAUCCAAUCUGUCCAAUGCAUGUCAAUCACUGUCUGGUUCAGCUCAGCCACAAAGUAGGACAGGGCCAGACUGGAAAGGACAAUCAUGUCUGCAGAGAGGAUCAUCGGUGCUGAUGUUCCCUCCAUCCAGGACCUGUACAGGUCCAGGGCUAGGAGAUGUGCAGAAAACAGCGCUACAGGAUGUAGAACCUAAAACAUUUGCUUUUGACCACAGUUUAGGUAAAAAAAAAAAAAAAGAUAACAACGCCCCCCCCCUAAAAAAAAACCCCAUCU